rnacentral:rRNA from 1 species
CCUACGGGUGGCAGCAGUGGGGAAUAUUGCACAAUGGGGGAAACCCUGAUGCAGCGACGCCGCGUGAGUGAAGAAGUAUCUCGGUACGUAAAGCUCUAUCAGCAGGGAAGAAAAUGACGGUACCUGACUAAGAAGCCCCGGCUAACUACGUGCCAGCAGCCGCGGUAAUACGUAGGGGGCGAGCGUGAUCCGGAUUUACUGGGUGUAGGGGGAGCGUAGACGGCAGCACAAGUCUGGAGUGAAAUCCCGGGGCUUAACCCCGGAACUGCUUUGGAAACUGUGCGGCUGGAGUGCAGGAGGGGUAAGCGGAAUUCCUAGUGUAGCGGUGAAAUGCGUAGAUAUGAGGAGGAACACCGGUGGCGAAGGCGGCUUACUGGACUGUAACUGACGUUGAGGCUCGAAAGCGUGGGGAGCAAACAGGAUUAGAUACCCUUGUAGUC